GACGAACGCUGGCGGCGUGCCUAAUACAUGCAAGUAGAACGCAGUUGCGAACGGGUGAGUAACGCGUAGGUAACUGCCUGGUAGCGGGGGAUAACUAUUGGUAACGAUAGCUAAUACCGCAUACUACUAGAUGGACCUGCGUUGUAUUAGUUAGUUGGUGGGGUAACGGCUCAACAAGGCAACGAUACAUAGCCGACGUGGGAGGGUGAACGGCCAAACUGGGACUGUAUCACGGCCCAGAAUCAUACGGGAGGCAGCAAUAGGGGAUCUUCGGCAAUGGACGGAAGUCUGACCGAGCAACGCCGCGGGAGUGAAGAAGGUUUUCGGAUCGUAAAGCUCUGUUGUAAGGGAAGCGGUAUCUUACCAGAAAGGGACGGCUAACUACGUGCCAGCAGCCGCGGUAAUAC
rnacentral:rRNA from 1 species